UCGGACAUGGUGUAUGGUACACCGCCUCUCUUCAUAGGGCUAAGUACGUGGAUGUGUUUGACGGGGCUGCUGGGGUUCGACUCCCUGUGUCCGAA